UCUGCUAUCACUCUUGGAUGGACCUGCGGUGCAUUAGCUAGUUGGUAAGGUAACGGCUUACCAAGGCAAUGAUGCAUAGCCGAGUUGAGAGACUGAUCGGCCACAUUGGGACUGAGACACGGCCCAAACUCCUACGGGAGGCAGCAGUAGGGAAUCUUCCACAAUGGACGAAAGUCUGAUGGAGCAACGCCGCGUGAGUGAAGAAGGGUUUCGGCUCGUAAAGCUCUGUUGGUAGUGAAGAAAGAUAGAGGUAGUAACUGGCCUUUAUUUGACGGUAAUUACUUAGAAAGUCACGGCUAACUACGUGCCAGCAGCCGCGGUAAUACGUAGGUGGCAAGCGUUGUCCGGAUUUAUUGGGCGUAAAGCGAGUGCAGGCGGUUCGAUAAGUCUGAUGUGAAAGCCUUCGGCUCAACCGGAGAAUUGCAUCAGAAACGGUUGAACUUGAGUGCAGAAGAGGAGAGUGGAACUCCAUGUGUAGCGGUGGAAUGCGUAGAUAUAUGGAAGAACACCAGUGGCGAAGGCGGCUCUCUGGUCUGCAACUGACGCUGAGGCUCGAAAGCAUGGGUAGCGAACAGGAUUAGAUACCCUGGUAGUCCAUGCCGUAAACGAUGAGUGCUAAGUGUUGGGAGGUUUCCGCCUCUCAGUGCUGCAGCUAACGCA
rnacentral:rRNA from 1 species